UGGAUUUCUAGGCUGGCAUUGUUGUUGGUGUUAACAUUGGCAUUACGGAUUCAGAAACCACAAUGUUAUGCUUGCAAUAGAGGGUGCACAGAUUACUCCAAACUUAUAGAGCGGCAAACGAUAACAGCCGCAAAACUCGUGCCAGCCCUUGUUUUGCUGCUUUAGAGAGCUAAUAGAAUUAAGAGUUACUCCAAAGUUCAUGACAUUGAUUUUCGCUUUUGGUGUCUGGAGAGCAUGAACUGGUGAUUACAAAUUUGGGUUUUAGUAUUUCAUUGACGACUACUUAUAGUGUAGCCUAAGAUAUGCAAGGGCACUCCUUUCUACAAAGUACGACCUUAAAUCAACGUAUGAUCUAUCGGGUUAUGGAAUGGGCGAAGGAAAUUUUGAUUGUGGCCCUAUGUAUAUAUAUACGAAAUGAAUUUCGAAUCAUGAAUACGAUUUUCGAACGAGUCAGUCUUUGGUCCACCUCUCGGCGAUGAAAUUGGGGUUCUUCGACAUAUCGUAAUAUUCGGUGCAGCCGUUGCGGAAGUAG